GAAUUGCAGAAUCCCGUGAACCAUCGAGUCUUUGAGACGCAAGUUGCGCCCGAAGCCUUCGGGCCGAGGGCACGCCUGCCUGGUCGCCACGA
rnacentral:rRNA from 1 species